UACGUAGGGUGCGAGCGUUAAUCGGAAUUACUGGGCGUAAAGCGUGCGCAGGCGGUUUUGUAAGCCGGAUGUGAAAUCCCCGGGCUUAACCUGGGAAUGGCAUUCGGGACUGCAAGGCUGGAGUGCGGCAGAGGAGACUGGAAUUCCUGGUGUAGCAGUGAAAUGCGUAGAUAUCAGGAGGAACACCGAUGGCGAAGGCAGGUCUCUGGGCAUUAAACUGACGCUGAGGGAGCGGAAGCAUGGGGAGCGAACAGA
rnacentral:rRNA from 1 species